GACGAACGCUGGCGGCGUGCUUAACACAUGCAAGUCGAACGGAAAGGCCCCUUCGGGGGUACUCGAGUGGCGAACGGGUGAGUAACACGUGAGUAACCUGCCCUUGACUUCGGGAUAACUUCAGGAAACUGGGGCUAAUACCGGAUAGGAAUCCUUGCUGCAUGGUGGUGGUUGGAAAGCUUCGGCGGUUUUGGAUGGACUCGCGGCUUAUCAGCUUGUUGGUGGGGUAGUGGCUUACCAAGGCUUUGACGGGUAGCCGGCCUGAGAGGGCGACCGGCCACAUUGGGACUGAGAUACGGCCCAGACUCCUACGGGAGGCAGCAGUGGGGAAUAUUGCACAAUGGGCGGAAGCCUGAUGCAGCAACGCCGCGUGCGGGAUGACGGCCUUCGGGUUGUAAACCGCUUUCAGCAGGGGCGAAGCUUGUGGUGACGGUACCUGCAGAAGAAGCACCGGCUAACUACGUG
rnacentral:rRNA from 1 species